rnacentral:rRNA from 1 species
CCCUUUAUAGCGGCGAGUGAGCGGCAAAAGCUCAAUUUGAAAUCUGGCGCCUUCGGUGUCCGAGUUGUAAUUUGAAGAUUGUAACCUUGGGGUUGGCUCUUGUCUAUGUUUCUUGGAACAGGACGUCACAGAGGGUGAGAAUCCCGUGCGAUGAGAUGCCCAAUUCUAUGUAAGGUGCUUUCGAAGAGUCGAGUUGUUUGGGAAUGCAGCUCUAAGUGGGUGGUAAAUUCCAUCUAAAGCUAAAUAUUGGCGAGAGACCGAUAGCGAACAAGUACAGUGAUGGAAAGAUGAAAAGAACUUUGAAAAGAGAGUGAAAAAGUACGUGAAAUUGUUGAAAGGGAAGGGUUUGAGAUCAGACUCGAUAUUUUGUGAGCCUUGCCUUCGUGGCGGGGUGACCCGCAGCUUAUCGGGCCAGCAUCGGUUUGGGCGGUAGGAUAAUGGCGUAGGAAUGUGACUUUACUUCGGUGAAGUGUU